AAAUGGUCGAACUCACAACUUUAUUUCCAGUGCACUUGUCUUGUACAAUUCCCCCAAAGGGCUCACAUCUUUGUCUGGGGUAGCUGUUCUUUGCCCACAACUGAGAAGCAAAUAAAAGCAACUCCUGGACUUAGGUGACUCAGCACAUUCCAAUACAGUGAAAAGCAGGUUUUUCUCUGGACUUCCUGGGCCAUUUGCCUGCCUAGCAACCAGGUACUCAAACAAACAGUGCCAGACAGGACCUACCUGUGUCUGACCUGAAGCAGCUGGCUAGCAGGCCUCUUUUUAAAAGGAGUGGCCGGCCAACUGUGCCAGAGGCUACAGUACAGUCAAAUCCCAUUCAUGGUGAGCUCUGGUUAUAUACUGACAGUAUCCACCACACCUUGAUCUAAGAAGUUAAUCUGAACCCCUAGCAUCCACAUGAAGACUGAGCUGUUUACCAGAGCCAGUGUUGUUAGGGGGGGAAACUGGCCCUUACAGUUAGAUCCUUUGCUUCUUGGUCUUUAAAAAUGAAGCUGUUACUACUUCUGCAUAAGUCAGUCACUGGGGAUACAGACUGAUGGGUUCAUUUCCAUGUGUUCCACUCCUAGAAUGUUGGGACUAUUGGGGGGGGAAAGUCCCUGGAAUUUAGAAUGAAGUUCUGGGAGCAUCUAUUGGCUGAAUAUGCUGCAUGAAAGAGGCUAUUGGAGGUGAGGGAAUUCCCCAAGGCUCAGGGAGCUAACCUUUGAUUUGUGUUGCAUAGAGAGUAAGUUGUAUAUUGGAUAUAGCAAACUUCAACUGCUUCUGUCCAACUGAUAUUUUAUUUACUCUGAAUGUGUUGUUUUCUAAACAGAUUUUGAGGAGAUAUAUAAAAUAAUGACAAUGAAAUUGAGCCUAUUCCUCCCUCCCAUUCAGCUUGUUCCACCAGUGGAGGUACAUAGCAUUUAUAAAAGCUUUCUGUAAUUUAUUACAGCAAAAUAUGAUAUAUCAAGUACAACAUCUGAGCGACAGUCCCGUCAUCAUCCAAAAAAAUAAAAGUUGUUUCAUACUAAAGGAGACAGAGACAGUUAUGGCAUCUGUAGUUGCAAUGUUGUUCUUUAAGUCCUGUUUCAUUGGUGUACGAAAUAAAUUGCUACCAUGUAGUAUAAAAAACACACCUGGUGUUUCCUUGCUGUUCAACACUUUAAACAUACUGUCUCGCCAGAGUGGUACAUGCUCUGGUUAUCUCCCGCUUGGAUUACUGCAGUGCGCUCUGUGUGGGGCUACCUUUGAAGGUGACUCGGAAACUGCAACUAAUCCAGAAUGCAGCAGCUGGACUGGGUGUGGCCGCUGGGACCAUAUAACACUGGUCCUAAAGGAUCUUCACUGGCUCCCAGUAUGCUUCCGAGCACAAUUCAAUGUGUUGGUGCUGACCUUUAAAGCCCUAAAUGGCCUCAGCCCAGUAUACCUGAAGGAGUGUCUCCACCCCCAUCAUUCAGCUCAGACACUGAGGUUAUCCCCCGAGGGUCUUCUGGCAGUUCCCUCACUGCGAGAAGUGACGUUACAGGGAACCAGGCAAGGGCCUUCUUGGCAGUGGCACCCUCCCUGCGGAAUGCCCUCCCAUCAGGUGUCAAGGAGAUAAAGAACUACACAACUUCUGAAGGCAGUUCUUUUGUAUUAUUAUUAGUAGUAGUAGUAAUUUUUUUCAGCUAUAACCCAUCUCUAUACACACCUAUUCACCCUGGUUUUUGACAUUUAGGUGUAUAUUUUUAGGACCCACCUUAUUUCUGUUGUUUUAUUGUUGUAACCUGCUCUGGGACCUUAGGCUGAAGACUGGGAAAUUAGUAAUUUAUCAUGAUCAUUAUCAUCGUAAUGCACCCCAUAGUCGCCUUUGACUGGACUUAACAGUCCAGGGUUCCUUUAUCUUUAACUAAGUCCAUUGUUAAACCAUGCAAAUACAUCCAAGUUUGGAUGAUGAACAACCUUGCUGCUAUCAGUACAGUAUCCAAAUGUGUUCUUUGGUUUGUUUGUUUGUUUCCUUCAUAUUACUUAAACUAGGGACUUUUUGGAAAAUGCUAAAGAGCAUAAGAAGUUGUUCGGAUUACGUUAAAGGGGAAUGAGUUUUAUUUGUAAUACUUGCUGUUCUUAUUAUUUUAAGAUGAGGUUCUAUUUCCAUUUAAAAGAAAAGACAACAUUAUUUGUGUAAGUGCAAAGGGAUGAUCCUGCCCACAGAACAGCCAGUUUCUAUGAGGGCUUGGGUCAUUACAGAACCAUCUCCCACAACUUGAC